UCCACGAAUCUCAGCGCGCUGGACCAGGGAAGGCAGAUCCAAGCUCUCAUCUUCAAGAAGAAUCUACCCAUGGACGUCGCCGCCACCAACUCGCUCAUCAAUCUCUACUUCAAGUGCGGCAGCAUCGCCGACGCGGAGAAGGUGUUCGACGGUGCCAUCUACCAGGCCAGAUAUGGUUGAAGUUGUGAACAUACUAGAGAUGAUCAGAUGCCCUCAGGAUAAUCCGGAAGAGGAGCUUUCUUGACGGUUUGGUCCACAAUCUCUGCGACAUAAACCAGUUAUAUGGCCCAAGUGAUGCGAUCAUUCCAUUCAUCUUGUAGCAAUUACCAGGAACUCUAAGUUGCAUGUUUAAUUAAAUCUGAAAGGUCUUACUAGUAUUCAAAUAUUGUUACCUCAUGUUUCUCCUUCCUUGUUCAGUUCUUGCAUAUGUAGAGGAUUGAGAUUGUGAAAGUUGGUGAAGUUCAUAUAGAGAAUGCAAGUCUCCAUAGAAGAAGGAGAAGGUAAAGCGCAAGAGCUCGGUGUCAUGUUUAUCAAAACAAGCGCAAAAGUUGGCUUCAAUAUAAAGGCA